rnacentral:rRNA from 1 species
UACGUAGGGUGCGAGCGUUGUCCGGAAUUACUGGGCGUAAAGGGCUCGUAGGUGGUUUGUCGCGUCGCCUGUGAAAUUCCGGGGCUUAACUCCGGGCGUGCAGGCGAUACGGGCAUAACUUGAGUACUGUAGGGGUAACUGGAAUUCCUGGUGUAGCGGUGAAAUGCGCAGAUAUCAGGAGGAACACCGAUGGCGAAGGCAGGUUACUGGGCAGUUACUGACGCUGAGGAGCGAAAGCAU